rnacentral:rRNA from 1 species
GAUAAACGCUGGCGGCGUGCAUGAGACAUGCAAGUCGAACGGACGAUCGAGGCUUGCUUCGAUCGUUAGUGGCGGACGGCUGAGUAACGCGUAGGCGGCCUGCCCCGAAGUGGGGAAUAACUGCCCGAAAGGGUGGCUAAUACCGCAUGUGGUGGUGUGUUCAAUCACACCAGUAAAGCCGCAAGGCGCUUCGGGAGGGGCCUGCGUCCGAUUAGCUCGUUGGUGGGGUAACGGCUCACCAAGGCGACGAUCGGUAGGUGGUCUGAGAGGACGAUCACCCAGACUGGGACUGAGACACGGCCCAGACUCCUACGGGAGGCAGCAGUCGGGAAUUUUGCGCAAUGGACGAAAGUCUGACGCAGCAACGCCGCGUGAGGGAUGACGGCC